rfam:Emmonsia crescens TAMH 3008 supercont1.1137, whole genome shotgun sequence.
GCCGGGCUAGCUCAAUCGGUAGAGCGUGCGGCUCUUAGAUCAUAAUCGUGUGACCGCAAGGCUGCGGGUUCGACCCCCGCGUUCGGCU